CUCAUUUUCCCCUUAUCGAGUAAACCCACUGUUUCUAUUCUCCCCGUCACUAUCUUUUUUUUCCCUUCUCAUCGCUUCCGCUGAAGAGAUUAGGGUUUCAUGUGUUAAUCGAUAUUCAAUCUGUUAAGAGAUUAUAGUCUUAAACCAGUUUCUAUCUGUGCAAGUCCUUCCGAUUUACGGUUAAAUCGUCUGUUUUUUCAUUUUCAUUUCAGGGUUUUUCAUUAAGAAGUCUUCAAUCUUAGUUUUUCAUCUUCAAUUAUCUGAUAAAUCUUAGUAUUUCAUCUUGAUCUAAUGCAAUUUAUUUUUCCUAAUUUUAUUUCAGGGUUUUAUCUGAUGAAGAACCGAAGAACUGAUAUGAAAUCUCAGCUUUUUUAAUGGGUUUGUAAAAUUUUCAAGUAAUCAUGGCAACACAAUUGAGUAAGAAACGAAAGGCUGAAAUCAAUUGUUGAUUUGAUGGCUGCAAUUUUUAAUGAUAUUGAACGAUGGUGUCUGUAUUGAAGACCUGUUCAAUUUCAGAAAUGAAGAAUUGGAAGAAGAUUUGUUAGAUGGAUGUCUGCGAGAAGAUGCAGGAUAUUUGGUUAGGUCAUAAUAUAGAAGAUUGUGUUUGAGUUCGAUUCUGGAUUUGGUAGCAAGAUGAGUUCUGUUGUUCAAUUCUUCUGUAAAUGGAGACAAUAAGGGAAUUUGUUCUACUGUUGGUGAAGAUUCGGAUGAAGGACAUGAAGGAUGUGUAUUUUCUGGUCAGCUGAGAGUAUGAGUUCUGAGUAUGGGUGAGAAUUUGGGUUGUGUUUGAUGCCUAAAUUACAAGACAGGAAGAUGGAGUUGCUGCUAUGGAUAUGCAUAUGGGUUGAAAGAUAUUUCUGAAGAUUAAAGACAUGGAUUUGAAGUUCAUACAAGGGCUGAGUCAAAGAUUUUUGUGGAGAGAAAUUAUGGGCGAGAGAGAUUACAAAAUGAAAAGAAUAAGGAUUUUUUUUGGGGGGGAAAUGAAAAGAAAAUUAAAAUGAAAAAAAAAAAAGAAAAGAAAAUUUUCUAAAUUAGAUAUAAAGAUUAAUAAUUGAAGUUGCUAAUAAGUCCUAAAAGAUUAAAAAUUUACAAGUAUGCCAUAUUCUAACA